AGCAGCCGCGGUAAUUCCAGCUCCAAUAGCGUAUAUUAAAGUUGUUGCAGUUAAAAAGCUCGUAGUUGAAUUUCGGGACCAAUCUGCCGGUCGCGCCUCCGGUAUGCACUGGUUUUAUUGGUUUCUCCCUUCUGACGAAUCAUGAUGUCAUUAAUUUGGUGUCAUGGGGAAUCAGGACUGUUACUUUGAAAAAAUUAGAGUGUUUAAAGCAGGCUCACGCUUGAAUACAUUAGCAUGGAAUAAUGAAAUAGGACGUUUGACCCUAUUUUGUUGGUUUCUAGGAUCGACGUAAUGAUUAAUAGGGAUAGUUGGGGGCAUUAGUAUUCAAUUGUCAGAGGUGAAAUUCUUGGAUUUAUUGAAGACUAACUACUGCGAAAGCAUUUGCCAAGGAUGUUUUCAUUAAUCAAGAACGAAAGUUAGGGGAUCGAAGACGAUCAGAUACCGUCGUAGUCUUAACCAUAAACUAUGCCGACUAGGGAUCGGAUGAUGUUAUUUUUUAAUGACUCAUUCGGCACCUUAC
rnacentral:rRNA from 1 species